rnacentral:rRNA from 1 species
UACAGAGGUCCCGAGCGUUGUUCGGAUUUAUUGGGCGUAAAGGGCGCGUAGGCGGCAUGACAAGUCACUUGUGAAAUCUCUGGGCUUAACCCAGAACGGCCAAGUGAUACUGUCGCGCUAGAGUGCGGAAGGGGCAAUCGGAAUUCUCGGUGUAGCGGUGAAAUGCGUAGAUAUCGAGAGGAACACCUGAGGUGAAGACGGGUUGCUGGGCCGACACUGACGCUGAGUGCGCGAAAGCCAGGGGAGCAAACGGG